ACACAUGCAGUCGAACGAUGAAACUCUAGCUUGCUAGAGAUGAUUAGUGGCGGACGGGUGAGUAACAUUUAGGAAUCUGCCUAGUAGUGGGGGAUAGCUCGGGGAAACUCGAAUUAAUACCGCAUACGACCUACGGGUGAAAGGGGGCGCAAGCUCUUGCUAUUAGAUGAGCCUAAAUCAGAUUAGCUAGUUGGUGGGGUAAAGGCCUACCAAGGCGACGAUCUGUAACUGGUCUGAGAGGAUGAUCAGUCACACCGGAACUGAGACACGGUCCAGACUCCUACGGGAGGCAGCAGUGGGGAAUAUUGGACAAUGGGGGCAACCCUGAUCCAGCCAUGCCGCGUGUGUGAAGAAGGCCUUUUGGUUGUAAAGCACUUUAAGCAGGGAGGAGAGGCUAAUGGUUAAUACCCAUUAGAUUAGACGUUACCUGCAGAAUAAGCACCGGCUAACUCUGUGCCAGCAGCCGCGGUAAUACAGAGGGUGCGAGCGUUAAUCGGAAUUACUGGGCGUAAAGCGAGUGUAGGUGGCUCAUUAAGUCACAUGUGAAAUCCCCGGGCUUAACCUGGGAACUGCAUGUGAUACUGGUGGUGCUAGAAUAUGUGAGAGGGAAGUAGAAUUCCAGGUGUAGCGGUGAAAUGCGUAGAGAUCUGGAGGAAUACCGAUGGCGAAAGCAGCUUCCUGGCAUAAUAUUGACACUGAGAUUCGAAAGCGUGGGUAGCAAACAGGAUUAGAUACCCUGGUAGUCCACGCCGUAAACGAUGUCUACUAGCCGUUGGGGUCCUUGAGACUUUAGUGGCGCAGUUAACGCGAUAAGUAGACCGCCUGGGGAGUACGGCCGCAAGGUUAAAACUCAAAUGAAUUGANNGGGCCCGCACAAGCGNGGGAGCAUGUGGUUUNAUUCGAUGCAA
rnacentral:rRNA from 1 species